CUGACGGUGCUGGACGGGAGUUAAUCAUUACGCUGUUUGUGCCACUGCAAUGGGCCGAGCCAGCCAGGGUCCUCGGGCUGACCCCACUCCUCACCCGCCCCCGCUGCUAUGCGGCCCACACGGGAAGACCACAGGAAGCUCAGACCGCGGCCCCCGAAACAACAAGGCAUUUUGCUUUGGAAACUGCCAGGACGGGAAAUUAGUUGGGCUGAUCAGGAAGAUCAGUCUGGCGUGAUUUGAACUGGGGAAUGGUUCUCCACGUGCCCGUGUCCAGGAAGCGGAGAUCUGUGGCCUGGCAGGUCCUGGAACCUUCACGCCCGUGCGCCCGGUGGCCGGACUCCAGCAGCUCCACGUAGAGCCAUGGCUUUCUCGCACCUGCCUGUCCAGUGAACGCGUGACCCUCCAGCUUAGGGACAAUUCCUUCAGACUCUCGGGAACAAGUGCAGCAGCAGAACUCCCUGGAAGCCAAGUGUUGACAAGGCUGGGUUCCACAUCUGGAACGUGUGUGGCCAGCCCCUCCCACCGUGGACUCAUGGUAUAAGCGAGGUGUGGCCUCAGUUUGGGACGCCUCGAGAUUCCUGGGUUCCCUUCUUAUCUGGGCCCGACCCCCAGUGCUGCAGAUCACCCGGGCUUUAGAAAGAGCCCCGUGGCCUUGAGAAGGUGCCUUGUGUGCGGCUGGAGAACUUGAGUACGACAGACAGUCGCUCCAGGGCUGUCCUUGCCGCCUGGAACGUUCUGGAUGACUUCUUUGGGAACCAGUUGCAUAGAGAGCUUACCAGUCACCUGGAAGAGCCAUUUCCAUGACUUUAUCACCACCACCUGCCCCAGAUGAGCAACAUCCCAGGGAUUCUCCUGAACAACAGUUACUAAGGAAACCUGCUUCCCUCAUCAUAUCAUUAAUCUCACAAGCUGAGAGUUUCUCCUGGGAUCGGAAAGAGCCACAAGAGCAAUGUCUCAGCUGGAAACAUCCUCAGUGAAACGUCGUUUGGUCUUUUCCUGUCUUCUGAGUCCUGAGGUGGGACCUCCUGGUCAUGCACUGCAGGAAGGAAGGAAGAUGUCUGGAGCCUUCUAAGCAGAACAAGGGCACUUUCUCUUCAGAGUAGCACUAUAGACAUGCUCUGUUAGAGAUCAAAGCGAAAACAAACCAACCGGUGAAUGAAAAACAGCAGGGACAGCCCAAGCCUUCUUGUGGGCCUGAGGCAGACCCACUCAGUCACGGCUGGCUUUGGCCGGCUUGGAGCUCGUCCCUAACUUCCCAGGUCCCUGGACUUGGCUGGCGUGGGUGGUGCUUCCCGAACAAGCUUGCAGCCUACUCUUUACGGGGCGCGGAUGUGGCAGAGUCCUGUGGUGUGUGCCAGACCCGGGCCUGCCUCCUCGGGUGGUGGCCGUGUGGGACCAGCUGGCCUCGUCUGCUGGGGCUGAAGGGCAUAAAAGCAGGAACUGGGGCUCUUUGAGCGGGACCUGGUUCUCCUACUUUGAAUGGGACCUUCGUUCCUCUCUUCACUAGAAGAAGCAGGUCUUCAAACGUAGCCUAUUUAUGCAAGUGACCCAGCUUUCCAGAUUCUGUUUCCUUCCCCAUGACUUUGCAACCCAGAGACGCAGGAGAGUCAUCGUGAGGGCAUGUGAGAGCCUUGAAUGAACACAGCCAGUACCCGGGACGCGGGAGUAAUCUGCUGAUUGAUUUUGUGCGUGCCUCUGUUGAGUUGGGGAGAGGUUGGGUGAGUCCAGACAUCAGGGUGCAGUUUCCGGUGGGAAAUGCUGGGUGUAGCUACCCUCGAGCUCAGCACGGUCACUGUCAUGGCGCACAUGGGUACGGCAGCUGUGGGGGACACACAGUCCAUCUGCACGUUCUCCCUCCUCCACGUUUACUUGCAGGAUCCUGGACAGAGGCGAAGUCCAGCCCCGUCCAAGGUCACGCAGGUGGCAAGAGGACAAGGGAAGAGCCUGGCCUGCCCCCCUUGUGCAGCUCUGAGUGUCUGCAGCCCGGGGCCCAGGCUCCUUCCCCGCUCUUGGCGUUCACGAUGGUCUUGCAGAAACCCUGCCUCCAGCCCUGCAUCUGCUCCUCAGACACUGGAGCCCUGCCACGGCCAGAGCAGAAGCCCACAGGGCCUCAGUUUAUCUGAGUGCGUCAGCAUGUGGUCCUCACGGACUGGCUGCGUAGGGGUCUCAAGCUAUGGCAAAAACGUGGCUUUAUUGACCUUCUUCUUCACCACAUGAGUGAGACCCUGUUUGCAUCAUCUGCCUGAAAGAAACUGGUUAAAAUGGAAAAAUGGAGCCUCAUUGUUAUUCAAGCAGGCCCGAUUAUCUGACGUUCUGGCAUAUUUUCAAAAUGUGGAAAGGUCCAGUAUCCUUCUCCUACUGUAGUGAUCCUGAGUGGAACAUUCAGGUUUAUGCGGAGUUGACCAAGGCACCGGGCCUGAGGGGUCUGCUGGUCUUUUGCGCAGGUGGCCGCAGACACGUGGUCUGAGGGCCUCCAACGGGCCCUCGUCGGGGACGGCCAGUAGCUUCUUUCUCCGCAGACUUCUCUCUCUCUCUCUCUCUCUCUCUCUCUCUCUCGUGUGCACACCAAAGUUAUCAUAUCAGUAGGGAUUCCGUGUUCGGUUUUGUCCCCAGGAGAGGCCAUCAAGGGAUUUGUCCCUUGAUCUUCCCUUCCCAGGACAAAGGGCCGGUAAACAGAACCUCCAGCAUGCGUGUCACCGUGCAGGGCCCAGUUUAGGGUUCUUGCUGGGGUGGGGGCACACGGGGGGGUGGGGCGUGGCAGAGUUAGUGG